CGUGAGUAACCUGCCUUGGAGUGGGGAAUAACAGCUGGAAACAGCUGCUAAUACCGCAUAAUAUAUCUGGGUCGCAUGGCUCUGGAUAUCAAAGAUUUAUCGCUCUGAGAUGGACUCGCGUCUGAUUAGCUGGUUGGCGGGGUAACGGCCCACUAAGGCGACGAUCAGUAGCCGGACUGAGAGGUUGGCCGGCCACAUUGGGACUGAGACACGGCCCAGACUCCUACGGAAGGCAGCAG
rnacentral:rRNA from 1 species